UGUUAAUCAGAUGUUUCUUAUUAAAAAUGCCCGGACAUAUGGACUCCAUAGUCAUUUCAGUGUGUUACUGAGGUAAGCU
rnacentral:snoRNA from 1 species